rnacentral:lncRNA from 1 species
CUGUUGGACCGUUACACUGGUGACCGUAAAUAGUCAAAAUAUGUCUUUUUUUAUAUGAAUAAGUAGUACUUCAUGUGGUAAUACAUGAAAACGGUGGUGUUUCAAUUGCUCAUCGUCAUCUGGAAACUGUUUCUUACAUACAGGUAGAGAAUACUAUAACAUAUAUGUGUACAAAACAAAGCAAUAUUCCCGAGUGCACUUUAUUUAAACAAAAAAAAAGAAAAAAAAGAUGUAAAAAUAAAAAAUUAAAGACAAACAUGUCUGCAAAAAAAUCCUAUAAAACG